rnacentral:misc_RNA from 1 species
GGCCUCAGUAGUAGGGGAACGUAAA